UUAGAGUUUGAUCCUGGCUCAGGAUGAACGCUGGCGGCGUGCCUAAUACAUGCAAGUCGAGCGAACGGACGAGAAGCUUGCUUCUCUGAUGUUAGCGGCGGACGGGUGAGUAACACGUGGAUAACCUACCUAUAAGACUGGGAUAACUUCGGGAAACCGGAGCUAGUACCGGAUAAUAUUUUGAACCGCAUGGUUCAAAAGUGAAAGACGGUCUUGCUGUCACUUAUAGAUGGAUCCGCGCUGCAUUAGCUAGUUGGUAAGGUAACGGCUUACCAAGGCAACGAUGCAUAGCCGACCUGAGAGGGUGAUCGGCCACACUGGAACUGAGACACGGUCCAGACUCCUACGGGAGGCAGCAGUAGGGAAUCUUCCGCAAUGGGCGAAAGCCUGACGGAGCAACGCCGCGUGAGUGAUGAAGGUCUUCGGAUCGUAAAACUCUGUUAUUAGGGAAGAACAUAUGUGUAAGUAACUGUGCACAUCUUGACGGUACCUAAUCAGAAAGCCACGGCUAACUACGUGCCAGCAGCCGCGGUAAUACGUAGGUGGCAAGCGUUAUCCGGAAUUAUUGGGCGUAAAGCGCGCGUAGGCGGUUUUUUAAGUCUGAUGUGAAAGCCCACGGCUCAACCGUGGAGGGUCAUUGGAAACUGGAAAACUUGAGUGCAGAAGAGGAAAGUGGAAUUCCAUGUGUAGCGGUGAAAUGCGCAGAGAUAUGGAGGAACACCAGUGGCGAAGGCGACUUUCUGGUCUGUAACUGACGCUGAUGUGCGAAAGCGUGGGGAUCAAACAGGAUUAGAUACCCUGGUAGUCCACGCCGUAAACGAUGAGUGCUAAGUGUUAGGGGGUUUCCGCCCCUUAGUGCUGCAGCUAACGCAUUAAGCACUCCGCCUGGGGAGUACGACCGCAAGGUUGAAACUCAAAGGAAUUGACGGGGACCCGCACAAGCGGUGGAGCAUGUGGUUUAAUUCGAAGCAACGCGAAGAACCUUACCAAAUCUUGACAUCCUUUGACAACUCUAGAGAUAGAGCCUUCCCCUUCGGGGGACAAAGUGACAGGUGGUGCAUGGUUGUCGUCAGCUCGUGUCGUGAGAUGUUGGGUUAAGUCCCGCAACGAGCGCAACCCUUAAGCUUAGUUGCCAUCAUUAAGUUGGGCACUCUAAGUUGACUGCCGGUGACAAACCGGAGGAAGGUGGGGAUGACGUCAAAUCAUCAUGCCCCUUAUGAUUUGGGCUACACACGUGCUACAAUGGACAAUACAAAGGGUAGCGAAACCGCGAGGUCAAGCAAAUCCCAUAAAGUUGUUCUCAGUUCGGAUUGUAGUCUGCAACUCGACUACAUGAAGCUGGAAUCGCUAGUAAUCGUAGAUCAGCAUGCUACGGUGAAUACGUUCCCGGGUCUUGUACACACCGC
rnacentral:rRNA from 1 species